AUACGUAGGGGGCGAGCGUUGUCCGGAAUGAUUGGGCGUAAAGGGCGCGUAGGCGGCUUUGCAAGUCAGUAGUGGAAGUCCAUUUUUCAAGGAUGGAAGUGCUACAGAAACUGCGGAGCUUGAGUGCAGGAGAGGUUAUCGGAAUUCCCGGUGUAGCGGUGAAAUGCGUAGAGAUCGGGAGGAACACCAGUGGCGAAGGCGGGUAACUGGACUGCAACUGACGCUGAGGCGCGAAAGUGUGGGGAGCAAACAGGAUUAGAUACCCUGGUAGUCCACGCUGUAAACUAUGAUAACUAUCUUUUAGCGAUACACAGUUAGAGGGUACGAGAAAUCAUUAAGUUAUCCACCUGGGGAUUACGUUCGCAAGAAUGAAACUCAAAUGAAUUGACGGGG
rnacentral:rRNA from 1 species